rnacentral:rRNA from 1 species
UUCCGGUUGAUCCUGCCGGACCCCACUGCUAUCGGGAUGGGACUAAGACAUGCUAGUCGAGCGUCUCUAAGCUAUGGAAGAGACGCGGCACACAGCUCAGUAACACGUGGCUAACCUGCCCUUGGGACAAGGACAACUCCGGGAAACUGGGGCUAAUCCCUGAUAAGUGAGAACUCCUGGAAUGGAUUCUCGCUGAAAGGACGUUUAGACCAUGCUUCUAGGCGUCGCCCAAGGAGGGGGCCGCGACCGAUCAGGUUGUUGGUGAGGUAACGGCUCACCAAGCCUUUAACCGGUACGGGCCGUGAGAGCGGAAGCCCGGAGAUGGGCACUGAGACAAGGGCCCAGGCCCUACGGGGCGCAGCAGUCGCGAAAACUCCGCAAUACACGAAAGUGUGACGGGGCCAUCCCGAGUGCCAUCCGCUGAGGAUGGCUUUUCCCCAGUGUAUAAAGCUGGGGGAAUAAGGAGAGGGCAAGCCUGGUGUCAGCCGCCGCGGUAAUACCAGCUCUCCGAGUGGUGGGGAUGUUUAUUGGGCCUAAAGCAUUCGUAGCCUGCUUGGCAAGUCCUCCGUUAAAUCCAACGAUUCAAUCGUUGGGCUGCGGGGGAUACUGUCCAGUUAGGGGGCGGGAGAGGCCGACGGUAUCCCCGGGGUAGGGGUGAAAUCCUAUAAUCCCGGGAGGACCACCAGUGGCGAAGGCUGUCGGCUAGAACGCGCUCGACGGUGAGGGAUGAAAGCUGGGGGAGCGAACCGGAUUAGAUACCCGGGUAGUCCCAGCUGUAAACGAUGCAGGCUAGGUGUUGGCGCGGCUACGUGCCGCUCCAGUGCCGCAGGGAAGCCGUUAAGCCUGCCGCCUGGGAAGUACGGCCGCAAGGCUGAAACUUAAAGGAAUUGGCGGGGGAGCACCACAAGGUGUGAAGCUUGCGGUUUAAUUGGAGUCAACGCCGGA